UUUGGGAUACAAAAGAAACGUCACUCGCCUGCCCUUGAAUCGUGUAUCUCGUUUCACUUAUUAUUUCCACUUGUUAUUCCGUUGUAAAUAAUCGUUGAUUAUUAAAGUAUCUUAUCGAACGAUAAAUACUCGAAACAAGAAAUUAAUUUAUCGUUAUGAAUAAGUGAGUGAUAAGUUUUAUAUCCUUGACCGUAUGACGGAGACGUUAUUAUGUUAAUGUUCGAUUUUUUCGCCGUUCGUUUCCAACGAUGAAUCAUUAUUGCUAUCGUCGACAUGCAUGAUCAUUUUGAUUCAAGAUUCCAAAGACCCAAGACUUACAACUACGUAGAUCUCUUGAUAUUUGCGGAUCAAAUGUUUUGUAAUUUCAAUAACAGUUCCGUUGCGAAACGAAAUCUUCGAUACAUAAUCAUCAUUGCGAUUACGAAAUAUGAUGAUGAGCGAUUCUCGACGAAGCGGAAAUCAACCUGCCGCAUCGCAUAAUUAUAACUAUUUAAUUAACUAUUCUUUAAUUUAAUUAUACUCAUGUGAUUAAAAUUUUUUAAUUAACUAUCAUGUUUUUUUUUUAAAAAAAAUUCCUAUCAUAA